rnacentral:tRNA from 1 species
GCACCAUUAGUACAGCGGUUAGUAUUCUAGGUUCCCAACCUAGUGAUGCGGGUUCAAUUCCCGCAUGGUGCA